GGCCCAGUAGCGGAUGGUCCGCGCCUGUUUUCUAUAUCUCUUCAUAAGCAUUUCUGCAGGAGACGCUCGUUCGAAUCGAGCCUGGGCCU